rnacentral:tRNA from 1 species
GUUUUCUUAGUUUAAUGGUAAAACAGCAUUCUUCUAAAAUGUUAAUUUUGGUUCAAAUCCAUAAGAAAAUU